AAUAGAUACCCGGGUAGUCCACGCCGUAAACGAUGAGUGCUAAGUGUUAGAGGGUUUCCGCCCUUUAGUGCUGAAGUUAACGCAUUAAGCACUCCGCCUGGGGAGUACGGCCGCAAGGCUGAAACUCAAAGGAAUUGACGGGGGCCCGCACAAGCGGUGGAGCAUGUGGUUUAAUUCGAAGCAACGCGAAGAACCUUACCAGGUCUUGACAUCCUCUGACGACCCUAGAGAUAGGGCUUCUCCUUCGGGAGCAGAGUGACAGGUGGUGCAUGGUUGUCGUCAGCUCGUGUCGUGAGAUGUUGGGUUAAGUCCCGCAACGAGCGCAACCCUUGAUCUUAGUUGCCAUCAUUAAGUUGGGCACUCUAAGGUGACUGCCGGUGACAAACCGGAGGAAGGUGGGGAUGACGUCAAAUCAUCAUGCCCCUUAUGACCUGGGCUACACACGUGCUACAAUGGACGGUACAAAGAGCUGCAAGCCGCGAGGUGGAGCUAAUCUCAUAAAACCGUUCUCAGUUCGGA
rnacentral:rRNA from 1 species